rnacentral:guide_RNA from 1 species
AUAAAUCCAAUAUAAGUAGAAUAGAAUCGAGAGUAUCAUGAUAUU